rnacentral:lncRNA from 1 species
GCACUAGGUCUGUGCUUUGAACUCCUCUAAGACAGAGCAUGUCCAAAGAGUCAUAAUUUCAGGGUGACAAGAUUGGAGGUCAGUGCUCUAUUUUCCAGCUAAAUAAGGGAGUGAGAAGUUGAGAGCUCAUACCUUCCCCUCCUCUCCCUCACUUGCAAGCACUUUGCAAAUUCUUGCUAAGGCCUCGGGCUCCAGAGGGACCCAGAAAGGUCUUAGAACCCAGGGUAGAGAGCUGGGCUUUCCUAUGGUAGCCAGCAAGGUCUCAAGGAAGAAGGGAGGGAUGGGAGUGGCCCAAUCCUUAAUAACCUUCCUGCGCAUCUUUGUUUUCCUAAAGACUGGCUUGCGGACCGCAAGUAUGACUCCACUAGCAGCGAUGACGACGACGACAAUCCAGGUCACCCUAUCACGGUCACCGCAAUGGUACACUCAGAGGCGUUUUUCUCGGACUCAGAAGAGUCAGACGUAGA